AUGAGACCACUUUGGUGCGAUUUAGCCACAAAUAAGGGGCUGUGUUACAUAACAGGUCAGAAAUUAAAUGUUUAAUAUCUCAAUAAGGUUAACAGUAAAUAUAAUGUUUAAUAUUUCAAUGACGAUAACAGCACAAACGUUAAUUUUUGCUGCACAAACCAGCACAAACACAGCACUAACCAAUGAGACCACUUUGG